rnacentral:rRNA from 1 species
UGGGGAAUUUUGGACAAUGGGCGAAAGCCUGAUCCAGCAAUGCCGCGUGUGUGAAGAAGGCCUUCGGGUUGUAAAGCACUUUUGUCCGGAAAGAAAUCCUUGGCUCUAAUACAGUCGGGGGAUGACGGUACCGGAAGAAUAAGCACCGGCUAACUACGUGCCAGCAGCCGCGGUAAUACGUAGGGUGCAAGCGUUAAUCGGAAUUACUGGGCGUAAAGCGUGCGCAGGCGGUUUGCUAAGACCGAUGUGAAAUCCCCGGGCUCAACCUGGGAACUGCAUUGGUGACUGGCAGGCUAGAGUAUGGCAGAGGGGGGUAGAAUUCCACGUGUAGCAGUGAAAUGCGUAGAGAUGUGGAGGAAUGCCGAUGGCGAAGGCAGCCCCCUGGGCCAAUACUGACGCUCAUGCACGAAAGCGUGGGGAGCAAAACAGGAUUAGAUACCCCUGGUAGUCCACGCCCUAAACGAUGUCAACUAGUUGUUGGGGGAUUCAUUUCCUUAGUAACGUAGCUAACGCGUGAAGUUGACCGCCUGGGGAGUACGGUCGCAAGAUUAAAACUCAAAUGAAUUGACGGGGUCAUAGCUGUUUCCU